rnacentral:rRNA from 1 species
GACGAACGCUGGCGGCGUGCCUAAUACAUGCAAGUCGAACGCAGUGGGGACGGGUGAGUAACACGUGGGUAACCUCCCAUCAGAGGGGAUAACACUUGGAAACAGGUGCUAAACCGAUACUGAUGGAUGGACCCGCGGUUCAUUAGCUAGUUGGUGAGGUAACGGCUCACCAAGGCCACGAUGCAUAGCUGACCUGAGAGGGGGAUCUGCCACACUGGGACUGAGACACGGCCCAGACUCCUACGGGAGGCAGCAGUAGGGAAUCUUCGACAAUGGACGAAAGUCUGACCGAGCAACGCCGCGUGAGUGAAGAAGGUUUUCGGGUUGUAAAGCACUGUUGGUAGAGAAGCGGUACCUAACCAGAAAGCCACGGCUAACUACGUGCCAGCAGCCGCGGUAAUUC